CAUGUAGGCGGACUGUUAAGUCUGAUGUGAAAGCCCGGGGCUCAACCCCGGAAGUGCAUUGGAUACUGGCAGUCUUGAGUAUGGGAGAGGAAAGUGGAAUUCCGAGUGUAGGAGUGAAAUCCGUAGAUAUUCGGAGGAACACCAGUGGCGAAGGCGGCUUUCUGGACCAAUACUGACGCUGAGAUGCGAAAGCGUGGGGAGCGAACAGGAUUAGAUACCCUGGUAGUCC
rnacentral:rRNA from 1 species